GCAGGCCCAGGGCUGGUGUGGCCUUGCUGCUUCCUUUGGCAGCUCUCGAGGUCUAGGGGGAGGGGUCCUGGACCAACUGGGGUCUGUCAGGUCAUCCCUGCAGCCACAGCCCACCCCACAGGGACCCCUGCCUUCCACCAGAGAGGACAGCCCUCUUCCUGGAGCUGGGAUCUGACGCUGGCUGGUGCCGACAGCAGAUACCAGAGUCAAGUGCGGAGGAAGGUGUGGAGCAACCAGAACUCCUAGAUGCUACUGACCAAAGUGACAGUUGGGGGGCAAGAUCGAGCAAUUUGCCAACAUCUCAUCAAAGUGAAGAUGCCCACUCCCUGAAAUCCAGAAAUUCCACUCCUCCACAUUAUCCUAGAGAAACUCUCACCCACAGAUAUUUAUGGAGCGCCUACUGUGUGCCAAGCACUGUUCUACAUGCUGAGGAUAUAGCAAGACGGCCAGAUUCCCCACUCUCGUGGAACUGACAUCGUAGUGGAGGAAACAGAUGAUAAACAGAUCAGCGAAUUCACAAUUCCAGAGCUGUAGAGGAUAAAGGGAUUGAUAGUGAUGGCUGGAGGAGAGGCAGUCUUAGAUGGGGUGGUCUAGGAAGGCCGCUCGGAGUGGGGACAUUUGAGCUAAGAACCAAACUAGGAGAAGAAAUCAGUUAUGGGAAGAUCUGGGUAAAGGGUGGUCCUGGCAAAAGGAACCCCAAGUACAAAGGCCCUAGGGCAGGAAUGUGCUUGGCGUGAUUGAAGGACAGUAGAAAGGCCCAAAUGGCUGAAGUGGAGUGAGCAAAAGGGAGAAAGACAGGAGAGGCCAACAGAAGGGCAGACAAGAGUCAGACCCCAGGGGUCCUUUUAGGUCAGGGAAAAGAACUUAGCUUUUCUUUUCAGUGUGACACAAAGCAAUUAGAAGGUAUUCAGCAGGGAUUUUAAAUGCAGCUGUAUCUUGAAUUUCUAACUUUAACUCCCCCGUUUCCCUUUAUGGCUUUCUGUCCCAGGACUCUUGUUUUCAGGUACCGUUGAGGGUGUCUGAAGUAGUGUUUAACUAUUCCCUUUUCCUUUUUAAUUUAAAAAUUGUUUCGAAAAUUUUAUGAAAGUUCUAUACGUACACAAUUGAAAAAAUCAAAUACUUCUACAAAGCUGAUAAUAAAUUGCAGUAGGGCUUCCCUGGUGGCGCAGUGGUUGAGAAUCCACCUGCCAAUUCAGGGGACAUGGGUUCGAGCCCUGGUCCAGGAAGAUCCCACAUGCCGGGAGCAACUAAGCCGGUGCGCCACGACUACUGAGCCUGUGCUCUAGAGCCCAUGAGCCAUAACUACUGAGCCCGCGUGCUGCAACUACUGAAGCCCGCGUGCCUAGAGCCUGUGCUCCGCAACAAGAGAAGCCACUGCAAUGAGAAGCCUGUGCACUGCAAUGAAGAGUAGCCCCCGCUCACCACAACUAGAGAAAGCCUGCGUGCAGCAAGGAAGACCCAACGCAGCCAAAAAUAAAAUAAAUAAAUAAAUAAAUUUAUUUUUUUAAAAAAGAGAUAAAAUAAUCAACAAGGACCUACUGUAUAGCACAGGGAACUCUACUCAAUACUCCGUAAUAACCUAAAAUGGAAAAGAAUCUGAAAAAGAAUAGAUAUAUGUAUAUGUAUAACUGAAUCACUUUGCUGUACAUCUGAAACUAACACAACAUUAUAAAUCAACUAUAUACAUGUAGCUGAUUCACUUUGUUGUACAGGAGAAACUAACAACAUUGUGAAGCAAUUAUACUCCAAUAAAGAUAUAAAAAAAUAAACAAAAAUAGUAAAAAAAUAAAUAAAUCAACUAUAUUCCAAUAUAAAAUAAAAAUUUUUUUUAAGAGAGAUAAAAUAAACCAGACCUAGGGAAUGAAUAGGCCAGGACCCAGAUGUGGGCCUUCUGAUACCAAGUUCAGUAUUUGACCCCAAAGCCCCAGACAUUUGUAUUCCUCUUUAUGAUUUUUACCAUAUUUGCCCAGCAACUGUAUUUUAUUUAUCUGUAAUUAUUUACUUGAUAAUUUUCUUUCUUUUGAGGACAUACAUUAAUCUUUCAAAGGAUGUUUUAUAUUAGUGCUUCAAUAUGCUAUAAAUUAUAAAUUUUACUAACACACAGUAAAAUAAAUUCAGUAAGAUUUAAAAGUGUUUUGUCAAUGUACUACGGAAAACCAGCCCCUGUUCCCUGUGGGUACACUUAAGGAAAAGUAUGCUAUUUUUAGAUCUAUAAAGAAUCUUUGGGAACAUUCUGUCCAGUGACUUUUAAACCCUUUUGACUAUGACCCUCAGUAAGUAACACAUUUACAUCCCAUACUUUAUAUACAGUGGCAAUAAAGGUGGCAGUCAAAACACAGACUCUGGAGGCUGACUGCCUGGGUUGGAACCUUAGCAUCGCCUCUUAAGGCAUCUGUCACUUUCACUGAGUGACUCAACUUCUCUGUGGCUCCAUUUCCUCAUCUAUAAAAGGGUAAAGACAAUUAUAGCACCUACCUCACAGGGUCAUUGUGAAGGUAAGGAGUUAUUAUUUGUAGAGCCCUAGUGUGUGAUCUAUAAAUUGUUGGUAUUAUCACAACCCCCCACACACAUCCAUAACCAUAUAGAAAUGAACAAAAUUUUCACACAUGAAAUUUACUAUGACUACAUGAGAUGCACUAGGAUGUUUUCUGUUCUAUUUUACUUCAGU